GACAGAGGGGGCAAGCGUUGCUCGGAAUUACUGGGCGUAAAGGGCGCGUAGGCGGGAUGGCAAGUCGGUCGUGAAAUCCCUCGGCUCAACCGAGGAACGUCGAUCGAUACUGCUGUUCUUGAGGAUUGCAGAGGAGACUGGAAUUCCCGGUGUAGCGGUGAAAUGUGUAGAGAUCGGGAGGAACACCGGUGGCGAAGGCGGCUCACUGGCCCGGAACUGACGCUGGGGUACGAAAGCGUGGGGAGCAAACAGG
rnacentral:rRNA from 1 species